rnacentral:rRNA from 1 species
AAGCGGCGAACGGGUGAGUAACACGUAGGUAAUCUGCCCAUCAGACGGGGACAACGAUUGGAAACGAUCGCUAAUACCGGAUAGGACGAAAGUUUAAAGAUGCUCCUGGCAUCACUGAUGGAUGAGCCUGCGGCGCAUUAGCUAGUUGGUGGGGUAAAGGCCUACCAAGGCGACGAUGCGUAGCCGACCUGAGAGGGUGAACGGCCACACUGGGACUGAGACACGGCCCAGACUCCUACGGAAGGCAGCAG